rnacentral:rRNA from 1 species
GCAUAAUAAAUAGUUUUUUAAUUGAGGACUGGAAUGAAAGGUUGAAAGUAAAAAGGGAUGUUUUAGCUAAUAAUUUUUAAUUUAGAUUUAAAGUAAGAAUACUUUAAUAAAUCUUUGGGACGAGAAGACCCUAGAAGCUUAGAAAUAAAGAUAUAUUUUUAGUUGGGGCAACUUAGUGAAGAUAAAGAUUUUUAAAAUUAGAAAAUUUUAAAUAUAAAAAGUUACUCUAGGGAUAACAGCGUUAUUUAAUUGGUGAGUUCUUAUUAAUAAUUAAGAUUGCGACCUCGAUGUUGAAUUAAAU